rnacentral:rRNA from 1 species
GACGAACGCUGGCGGCGUGCUUAACACAUGCAAGUCGAGCGGUAAGGCCCUUUCGGGGGUACACGAGCGGCGAACGGGUGAGUAACACGUGGGUGACCUGCCCUCAGCUCUGGGAUAAGCCUGGGAAACCGGGUCUAAUACUGGAUAUGACUCCAUGACGCAUGUUGUGGGGUGGAAAGCCUUGUGCGGCUGAGGAUGGGCCCGCGGCCUAUCAGCUUGUUGGUGGGUGANGGCCUACCAAGGCGACGACGGGUAGCCGGCCUGAGAGGGCGACCGGCCACACUGGGACUGAGACACGGCCCAGACUCCUACGGGAGGCAGCAGUGGGGAAUCUUGCGCAAUGGGCGAAAGCCUGACGCAGCGACG